rnacentral:rRNA from 1 species
UACGUAGGCAGCGAGCGUUGUUCGGAGUUACUGGGCGUAAAGGGCGCGUAGGCGGCCAGCACAAGUCAGUUGUGAAAUCUCCGAGCUUAACUCGGAACGGUCAACUGAUACUGUGCGGCUAGAGUGCAGAAGGGGCAACUGGAAUUCUUGGUGUAGCGGUGAAAUGCGUAGAUAUCAAGAGGAACACCUGCGGCGAAGGCGGGUUGCUGGGCUGACACUGACGCUGAGGCGCGAAAGCUAGGGGAGCGAACGGG